AACGAACGCUGGCGGCAGGCCUAACACAUGCAAGUCGAGCGAGGACUUCGGUCCUAGCGGCGGACGGGUGAGUAACGCGUGGGAACGUGCCCUUUGCUUCGGAAUAGCCCUGGGAAACUGGGAGUAAUACCGGAUGGGCCCUUUGGGGGAAAGAUUUAUCGGCGAAGGAUCGGCCCGCGUUGGAUUAGGUAGUUGGUGGGGUAAUGGCCUACCAAGCCGACGAUCCAUAGCUGGUUUGAGAGGAUGAUCAGCCACACUGGGACUGAGACACGGCCCAGACUCCUACGGGAGGCAGCAGUGGGGAAUCUUAGACAAUGGGGGAAACCCUGAUCUAGCCAUGCCGCGUGAGCGAUGAAGGCCUUAGGGUUGUAAAGCUCUUUCAGCUGGGAAGAUAAUGACGGUACCAGCAGAAGAAGCCCCGGCUAACUCCGUG
rnacentral:rRNA from 1 species